GCGGGCAGCUGCAGUGGGGAAGGGAGCCACCAGGAGAGACCUGGCAGGCAGGGUCCAGCCAGCUGUGGUCACCCAGCCGCGCGUCAGCACACAUGGCUGCUCCAAAACAGACACGGGUCCGGGCAGGGCCAGGGCACUGUCUGCUUAGGGGAGCUGUUCCCUUGUCCCUCACAGCACCUGGGCCACAUCUGCCAAGUCCACCCAAGAGGUUGCAGCUUUGAGCAAACUGCUCCGUCCCCCUGAGUGUCAGCUGCACGUCUGUGCGGUGGGGGCGACGAUCAGACCUGCAGCGUGGGGCCGCCCUGAGGCUCCAGCAAGCGAGUCUCAGCAGCAGGCCCCGCCCGCGCUCGGGGCAGUGUCACUCACUAAUGUUACAGGAAGUUAGUGUGAAAAGCUAGCUGUGCGGUACUGGAGCCCAGAAGGUGGACCGGCCUUGGCCAGGCCCCAGCCUGCUGCCCGUGCACCAAGUCACAGUGAUGCCCGGAGAGCAGAUCACGAACGGGGCAUCCUGGGGGCUGCCGCCUCAGCUCGCUGUGACAGGGUGAGCGUGGGGUCUGGAGGCCCCCUGAGCAGGGCCACUCCCUGAGUCCAGCCGGCCGCGCUGACAGGGAAGGGUGCCCUCCCACCGGGGGAUAGUGCGCAGGAAGUCGGGGAGGCGGGAUAUUGAAACUAGCUUGGCGACAACACGGACAGUUGGAAGAUGGCCCGCCACGGCUCCAUGACCCUGGGGAGCCUGCAUCUGCGCUGAGGUCACAGAGAGAAGGUGAGCCUGCAGGGUCAUCCUCGCCCCAGGCUGAGAUCCAUUCACCCCAAGCCAGGAUCUGAGGCAAAGAGACCAGUUAGGAACUUGAUGCAGUGUCCCGAUGCCCAGAGGUCCAGGUGUCCGGGGAGAGGGCCCUCACAACAGCUUGUAACCAAGUGUGUGGGAGCGACCCAGGCAGAGCUACAGGUGCUGGACACAGAUGGAACUGAUGUCAACGACAAGGUGAGAGGACCGACGGCAGAUGACCCAGGCAUGGACCCCUUGUUUGUGGCCGCCUUCCUCACCAGGUUAUCAGCCCCCCAGGGACACUCCUGCUUGCUGUCCGCUGCCCUGGCCAGCUCAUGCCUGGCACAUGUUGGGCCCUGGUUAUGCUUUCUGAGCAGACAGGUGGGUGAGACCCACAGAGCCUCGCACGGCAGUGGGGAAAGGUGUCCAGUGGAGGCAGAGGUGGCACGGGACAGCUUUCACCUGCAUGGCGCGUGUGGGCUCAGUACCAGGGGGCCACCCCCUUGUGGAGUGUCCAGGGGGAGGGGGUGUCUUAUUAUGGCUCAUGAGCGGGGGACGGCCUUCCUCAUCUCUGCAAAUGUCACCGACUUCCGGAGAUCUGUGAAAUCACCCACCCAAGGCACAUGGCCGGUAACUCCCUGUGACGUGCCUUGGUGUCUGUUUCAACAUGUCCACCGGCUCUUCCGGGGAAGGCGGCCCCAUGGGUCACUGGCACCUCCACUACCCAUGGCCCGUGGGGUCUCCCUAUCUGGGGAGAGUCAGAGGGUCCCCUCGCCUCAGACUGCAGCAGUGCCCGGAGGCAGAACACUGUCUCUGCUCCCAACGAGGUGCCCUCCCCUCCCCCAUCUCCCACGUGCCUGGCCUCUGCAGCCCCCAGACCUGGCCAGCUCCCCCUCCCAUUGGCUCCUCCACAGCCCACGCCUGGGAUUCGGGCCCUCGGGCCCCUCUCAGCGCAGUGCACAGGCCCAGCCAGCUCACGGGGCUCUUGGGGACAGUGGUGUCACCUCCACGGAGCCCGGCGUUCCGAGGCCGGCUGUGGAAGUGGGGAAGGGCUAGCGUUCUUCCUCCAGUUUACUUCAGGGAGCGGGGGCGGCUGGAAGAGGAGCAGCUGUGCUGGGCACUGGGACCCUGCCCGCCCCCCCCCCCCCGCGCUGCCAGGCUCCGCGUUUCUCCAGGAAGCGGGGAGUGCUGGGGACCGCAGUGUGGCCAGGGCUCAGAGGGGUUGAUGGCGUGGGCAGCACCCCACCUGGAGAGGAGGGAAUCCCGAGGAGCAGACAGUGCUCUUGGCAGGAGGACACCAGGGGAGGGGUGGGCUGCCUGUGUUCCCGGGGAGGCCAUGUCCACUGCCCCACCCCCCACGAAGCCUAGCGACUUCCAGACUCCCUUCUCAGCGGCCACAUUCCUAAAGCCUCAGAAUAAGCCUUCUCAACACACGGCAGCACGUUGCCAGAGCCAGAAACCUCCCUCAAAGAGUUGGUCUUUCGCAGCAGCAGACAAUGGAUAAACACAGCGUGGUCCAUUUACCCGUGGCAUAGCGUUCAGUCACCAAGAGGAGUGAAGUACUGACCUGCGCUGCCAAAGGCCACAUUUAACUCCAUUUACAUGGAGCUUCCAGAAUCGGCAAAUCUCUAGACACAGGAAGUGGAUCACCGCUUGCCAGGGCUGAGCGAGGGGGUUGGGGAGUGACUGCCGACGGGUGCCAGGCUUCUCCUUGGUGGGGGAGAAAAGGUUCUGAAACAAGAUAGAGGC